UCCUCCUGCCUCAGCCUCCCGAGUGCUGGGAUUACAGGCGUGCGCCACCAUGCCUGGCAUCUCUGGUGUUUCUGACAGGCGCUCUGUCCAUGGCAUUCCAGGGCCCAGACACAUCCUCCUGCACUGCAUCUCUGCAGACGAUUCCCUGGCUACCUUCCUUGUAAGUGGAGGUGGGCUGCCCGGCAUGCCACCCCACUGCACUGUUGCAGUCUCCUCAGCCUACCCCCUUGCCCCUGAACUGGACUUGGGGCUCUGCCCCACUUCCUCCUGACCCUCUGCGGUCUGCGUGUCCCAGUCCCACACCCGAGGGGCUUCCUGCAGGGGCCUCCUGGUGACGGUGCAGCCACAGCAGCAGAGUGCAUACUGCCAUCCCACGGGCGCUGAGGGCCAGGUCUGUACUGAGAGCAGCUGCCGGGGCCAAGGCCGCCUGCCCCUGCUGCGAGGCAGCCAUGUGACUCGGGGCCCACUCCCUCAGCCUGUCUGCUCAUCUCUCAAGUGCAGCGGUCACCACCAGACAUGUCUCCUGGAGGAAAUGACCUCACUACAGCACUUCCAUCAGCGUGUGCUGUUACACUCGCCACGCCUCCAGGAGCCCUGUGAGGUGGCAGUCAUUCCCUUGGCAGGAUGAAGACAUCCAUCACAAACUUAAAUACCGUACUGUUGAGCAAGAAGGAGCUGCAGGGGCUGCGCCCAAGCCAGCCUGAGCCUGUUCUGAGAAAGUCAGUCCUCUGCCCGGCACCACUGAAGCUGACCUGGAUUCAAGGUCACCCAGGGCUUCAGGAGCCCUAGGGGAACAGCCUGAGCUAGACACUACAGUGCCGAAGAAGCCAGCCUGGAAGGCACAGACCCUGGCCAGCUGAUGCCCAGGGACCUGCCUGCCACUGCGAAGUCUCCAGCUGCCGGCUGGGAGUGGCAGGAGGGGUGGAGAAACGACAAGCUGAGCAGACAGUGCCGAAAUCCAGUGCAAUCCAGGCACACGCAGGCAGCCCUGACUCACUUCCGAGGGCCGCUUCCUCUUCCUCUACCCACUCCCAAGCCCCCUCAUCCCGGCCCUGCCCAGGCUGGGUGCUUCUCAUCCCAAUGAAAGGCAACUAGCCUCCUACCUCCAAAGCUGAUGGUGGGAAACCUCACAUUCAUACGGCAUCCUGACCACCACCCAAGGGCCAGUGCUGUUUACCUUCGCCAGGAGCCACAUCCUACUGCUCAGCCUCUCACACUGGAGAAUGACGGUGAAGGAAACAGGGACGAUCUGCUUUAAAAACGAACUGCAAAGCAGAAGGUGUCACCUUGACUACGGGGAGGGGUCCCCCAACCUGCUGGCCCACAGGCAAAGCUCUUGGCAAGCCAGCCUCAUGGUAACAAACACACAGCCCUACACAAAACAAACUUUAUUGAAAGGUGGCUGAUGGGAAGCGAGAUCCAAAUUGGGGAAUCCUGCAUUCUAUUCCCAGAUCCAUCCCCAGUACCCCGUGACCCGCCCCAUCCAUAAAUGGAGGCUCUGCAUAAAAGCAGAGGGCUGUCUCUUUCAGCUCCCACAUCCGGCAGUUCCAGAAAACUCGUGGACUGAAAAAGUGUGGUCACCCAGAAAGCUGUUGACAAAGGAUUCUGCUAAACGAGAAAAUCGAAAGAUCACUGACAGCAGAAUGUGACUCCCAAACCGUGGGGCACAGCCGACGGGGGCAACAGUGUAGGGGCCCCUCCAGGCCACAGUGACCAGAUGCCAAGGCAAGGACGAAGCCACAGAGAUGCUUGGGCGGGCGGGCAAUGACGAGCGAGCCCUCAGCCCUCUUGGCAGAAGUGGCGUGGAAGUGUGUUCUGUGCCCAGCAGGCCCCAGGGGAGAUGCCAUCAGGGAGCCAUCCAAGGCCACCUUUGACCCAGCAAGAAAAAAGAUACCAUCGACCCUGCAGAGGGCAGAGCAGGAGAGGACGUACCCUUCAGGGGGCACCACAGGCAAUAAAGAAGAUGAGUAAUACAUACACACACCCAACCACCAACACGCUUAUUUUAAAACCAUCCCACCACUCAUCAGCAGAAAGGUUCCAGCCUUUGAUCUCCUUUCAGACAAAGCCUUAUUAGGGAGGCCAAACACACCCAAAGUUAAGACACUUGAUGAGAUUGCUAGUGCUUCCUGCAUCAAGAGACCCUCCCACCCUGACGGCCCCCUGAAAACCCACUUCACAGGCUCACCCCUGCAUUGACAAGCGCAUCCUUAAUUGGCCCAGGCCACGUAUUUCAAAACAUAUUACCCAACUACUUCUAAUUUCAAAUCACACCUAGAGUCAAACCAAACCACUACAAAAGAAGCCCUAAGGGUCUAUCAGCUAGCUCUGGGGGAGUGAGCUUUAUUAAAAAAAAAAAAAAAAAAAAA